GACGAACGCUGGCGGCGUGCUUAAUACAUGCAAGUCAACUUGACUUUAGAUAGCAAUAUCGAAAAGUAGGGUGGCGCACGGGUGCGUAACGCGUAGGUAAUCUGCCCUGAGGUCUGACAUAACCCGUCGAAAGGCGGGCUAACAUCAGAUGAUAUAUAAUCACGACAUCGUGGAAAUAUCAAAUCUUCGGAGCCUUGGGAUGAGCCUGCGUCUGAUUAGGUAGUUGGCGGAGUAAUAGCCCACCAAGCCUACGAUCAGUAGCUGGUCUGAGAGGAUGAUCAGCCACACUGGGACUGAGACACGGUCCAGACUCCUACGGGAGGCAGCAGUAAGGAAUAUUGCUCAAUGGGGGAAACCCUGAAGCAGCAACGCCGCGUGAAGGAUGAAAUACUUUGUAUGUAAACUUCUGUAAGAUGGGAAAAAUAUUCUCCUUCGGGAGAAUUGAUUGUACCAUCAGAGUAAGCCCCGGCUAACUACGU
rnacentral:rRNA from 1 species